rnacentral:lncRNA from 1 species
AUGAUCAAUCAAGGAUCUGAAGUAAUAAUAGUAGGUGGUUUAUGGCAGCAAAAGCUUGGCGUUCGGCAGGUUCAAAGCUACAAGAAAUUGGCAUGUUGGAGAGAAAGCUCAGAGCUUAAUGCUUAUGGUCGUGCUCAAGAAGAGGUGCAUAAGGUAUUUUUGUCAUUAAUGUCUCUCUCUUGUGCCAUUGAUCUUAAAACUUGA